rnacentral:rRNA from 1 species
CCUUUCAGGAUGAACGCUAGCGGCAGGCUUAAUACAUGCAAGUCGUGGGGCAGCAUGAAGUAGCAAUACUUUGAUGGCGACCGGCAAACGGGUGCGGAACACGUACACAACCUUCCUUUGAGUGGGGAAUAGCCCAGAGAAAUUUGGAUUAAUACCCCGUAACAUAACGAUGUGGCAUCACAUUGUUAUCAUAGCUUCGGCGCUUAAAGAUGGGUGUGCGUAUGAUUAGAUAGUUGGCGAGGUAACGGCUCACCAAGUCUACGAUCAUUAGCUGAUGUGAGAGCAUGAUCAGCCACACGGGCACUGAGACACGGGCCCGACUCCUACGGGAGGCAGCAGUAAGGAAUAUUGGUCAAUGGACGCAAGUCUGAACCAGCCAUGCCGCGUGAAGGAUUAAGGUCCUCUGGAUUGUAAACUUCUUUUAUAUGGGACGAAAAAAGGUCUUUCUAGACCCCUUGACGGUACCAUAUGAAUAAGCACCGGCUAACUCCGUG